rnacentral:rRNA from 1 species
UGGGGAAUCUUGCGCAAUGCGCGAAAGCGUGACGCAGCAACGCCGCGUGAGGGAAGACGGCCUUCGGGUUGUAAACCUCUUUCAGGAGGGACGAAGCUUCGUCGGUUAAUAGCCGGCCGGAGUGACGGUACCUCCAGAAGAAGCCCCGGCUAACUACGUGCCAGCAGCCGCGGUAAUACGUAGGGGGCAAGCGUUGUCCGGAAUCAUUGGGCGUAAAGCGCGUGUAGGCGGUUUGGUAAGUCCGCUCUGAAAGUCCGGGGCUCAACCCCGGGAGGCGGGUGGAUACUGUCAGACUAGAGUGCGGAAGAGGCGAGUGGAAUUCCCGGUGUAGCGGUGAAAUGCGCAGAUAUCGGGAGGAACACCAAUUGCGAAGGCAGCUCGCUGGGACGUAACUGACGCUGAGACGCGAAAGCGUGGGGAGCAAACAGG